GGAAGAAGCUCCGCGUUUUUAAGUUUGAAGUUAUGUGUGAAACUGAGUGCGGAAGACGAAAAGCUGGAGGAAUUUCUGAAGGAAAACGAAUGUGAAGACAUUCGUGAAUACCUUAAAGAUGCUCAAAUAAGAUAUAGUGAUUUAAAAUAUAUCAUAACGGAAGAAAAUUUAAGGGAAGCUGUGCCUCCGUUGGGACCCCGCCUGAGGUUUCGGGAGAAGCUGUUAUCAUGGAGGAAGGCAGAGAAGUGCGGUCCACUCAAGUAUUUAUGGAGUAUGCGUUUUGUAUAUUUAUUCGUAUAUUUAUUACCUUUCCAAUACAUGUAUAUACUGUAAACAAUUCAAAGUCGUAUAUAAGACUAAAAUAUGUUUAAGAUCCAAAACAUAUCCCUAAUACAA